rnacentral:rRNA from 1 species
UGACUGGGGCGGUCGCCUCCUAAAUCGUAACGGAGGCGCGCGAAGGUUGGCUCAGAGCGGUCGGAAAUCGCUCGUUGAGUGCAAUGGCAGAAGCCAGCCUGACUGCAAGACUGACAAGUCGAGCAGAGUCGAAAGACGGCCAUAGUGAUCCGGUGGUCCCAAGUGGGAGGGCCAUCGCUCAACGGAUAAAAGGUACGCCGGGGAUAACAGGCUGAUACUGCCCAAGAGUCCAUAUCGACGGCAGUGUUUGGCACCUCGAUGUCGGCUCAUCUCAUCCUGGGGCUGGAGCAGGUCCCAAGGGUAUGGCUGUUCGCCAUUUAAAGUGGUACGCGAGCUGGGUUUAGAACGUCGUGAGACAGUUCGGUCCCUAUCUGUUGUGGGCGUUAGAAAUUUGAGAGGACCUGCCUCUAGUACGAGAGGACCGGGGUGGACGAACCUCUAGUGUACCUGUUGUGGCGCCAGCUGCAUCGCAGGGUAGCUACGUUCGGAUGAGAUAAGCGCUGAAAGCAUCUAAGCACGAAACUCACCUCAAGAUGAGAUUUCUUUUAAGGGCCGUGGGAGACUACCACGUUGAUAG